CUUUACGUCGUUCUGACAAAUAAAAUUUUUUUACGUCUCCUUCUGCUGUUACCACGGAAUUUAUUUUUUGAAACAAAAUUUGACACACAAUCACUGACUUCUUACAAAAGCUCUUAUACGCACAACUCUUAGAGAACAACUGACUAACAGUCCAGGGCCUGGACUCUGGACUCCAGGCUAAGCCAGAUCGUGAAUAGAGUAACCCCCUUCCUCACUACCACGUGGCUGCAGUGCCUUCGUUUUGGCGGAAACUGAAGAAAAAUUUCUCAAAACGAUUGACAGCCAGCGCGCCAGAGUAAUUUAUUCAGAUAUAGAACAUUAGUCUUGAAAUAAAAAUCCAAUCUGGAUAGUCCACUUAGUAUCACAUAUUUGUUAAACACUCUUGAUUGUAAUUUGCAAAUAAAAAUA